rnacentral:rRNA from 1 species
GAUGCCUAUACUGCAAGUCGAGCGGAUUAUUCCUUCGGGGAUAGCUUANCGGCGGACGGGUGAGUAACACGUAAGCAACCUGCCCACAAGACCGGGAUAACAUCCGGAAACGAAUGCUAAGACCGGAUACGCAAGCCUGGGGCAUCCCGGGCUUGGGAAACACGGCGCAAGCUGUGGCUUGUGGAUGGGCCUGCGGCGCAUUAGCUAGUUGGCGGGGUAACGGCCCACCAAGGCGACGAUGCGUAGCCGACCUGAGAGGGUGAACGGCCACACUGGGACUGAGACACGGCCCAGACUCCUACGGGAGGCAGCAGCAGGGAAUCUUCCGCAAUGGGCGCAAGCCUGACGGAGCAACGCCGCGUGAGUGAUGAAGGUUUUCGGAUCGUAAAGCUCUGUUGCCAAGGAAGAAAUGUAAGGAGAGUAACUGCUCUUUACUUGACGGUACUUGAGAAGAAAGCCCCGGCUAACUACGUGCCAGCAGCCGCGGUAAUACGUAGGGGGCAAGCGUUGUCCGGAAUUAUUGGGCGUAAAGCGCGCGCAGGCGGUUUUUUAAGUCUGGGGUUUAAUUGCAGGGCUCAACCCUGUAUCGCCUUGGAAACUGGGAGACUGGAGUGUANGAGAAGAAAGUGGAAUUCCACGUGUAGCGGUGAAAUGCGUAAAGAUGUGGAGGAACACCAGUGGCGAAAGCGACUUUCUGGCCUAUAACUGACGCUGAAGCGCGAAAGCGUGGGGAGGCAACAAGAUUAGAUACCCUGGUAGUCCACGCCGUAAACGAUGAGUGCUUAGUGUUAAGGGUUUCGAUACCCUUGGUGCCCAAAUUNAACACAGUAAGCACUCCGCCUGAGGAAUACGCUCCCAAGAAUGAACCUCAAGGGAUUGGACGGGGACCCGCACCACCAGUGGAAUUUGUGGGUUUAUUCCAAACAACGCCAAAACCCUUACCGGUCUUGAAAUCCC